rnacentral:tRNA from 1 species
GCCUUCGUGGCCUAACGGUUAAGGCAUCGGUCUUCUAAACCGAGGUUUGCGGGUUCGAGUCCCGCUGAAGGUG